rnacentral:ncRNA from 1 species
UUGUAGCUUAGAUAUACUUGGUAUUCUGUUCAUUUCCAGAAAUGUCCAAACACGGAUGUUUGGACAAGCCGCCGUUGAGACAUGGAUGUCGAAUCGGCGGCGGUUUCGUCCGCAACCAGAAUAUACAUCAGAAUACCUAGUAUAUCUUAGCUGCA